rnacentral:tRNA from 1 species
GUGAGUGUAGCUCAGGGGUAGAGCGCUGGACUGUGGCUCCAGAUGUCGAGGGUUCAAAUCCCUUCACUCACCCCA